rnacentral:rRNA from 1 species
AUUGAACGCUGGCGGCAGGCCUAACACCUGCAAGUCGAACGAGUGGCGGACGGGUGAGUAAUGUCUGGGAAACUGCCUGAUGGAGGGGGAUAACUACUGGAAACGGUAGCUAAUACCGCAUACCAUCAGAUGUUCCCAGAUGGGCUUAGCUUGUUGGUGGGGUAAGGGCUCCACAAGGCGACGAUCCCUAGCUGGUCUGAGAGGAUUACCGGCAACACUGGAACUGAGACACGGUCCAGACUCGUACGGGAGGCAGCGGUGGGGAAUAUUGCACAAUGGGCGAAAGCCUGAUGCAGCCAUGCCGGGUGUAUGAAGAAGGCCUUCGGGUUGUAAAGUACUUUCAGCGGGGAGGCGUUACCCGCAGAAGAAGCACCGGCUAACUCCGUGCCAGCAGCCGCGGUAAUU